rnacentral:rRNA from 1 species
AGAGGGUGCGAACGUUGCUCGGAAUUACUGGGCGUAAAGCGCGUGUAGGCGGUCCGUUAAGUUGGUAGUGAAAUCCCAUGGCUCAACCAUGGAAGUGCUGCCAAAACUGGCGGGCUGGAGUGCCGGAGAGGGUGGCGGAAUUCCCAGUGUAGAGGUGAAAUUCGUAGAUAUUGGGAGGAACACCGGUGGCGAAGGCGGCCACCUGGACGGUAACUGACGCUAAGACGCGAAAGCGUGGGGAGCAAACAGGAUUAGAUACCCUGGUAGUCCACGCUGUAAACGAUGAGCACUAGGUGUUGCGGGUAUUGACCCCUGCAGUGCCGACGCUAACGCAUUAAGUGCUCCGCCUGGGGACUACGGCCGCAAGGCUAAA